rnacentral:lncRNA from 1 species
UUGUAGAGUUGGAGAGAUAAAUCAGAGUAAAGUUGAAGAGAGUAGAACGGAGUAACUGAAGAGCUGCCUCUUGAACUCCGACCUCCAAAACGGAGAUGCUUCCUCUUCUUGUAUAACUCUUGAAUUGCUAAACUAUAUAUAUUGCUACCUAUUAAAUAUUGAUUGGAAGAGAGAAGAAUUGCUAAAAGAGAGAAUAAAUAGGAGUAAAGAGAUUAGAGAGGGAGAG